UACGUAGGUGGCAAGCGUUGUCCGGAUUUACUGGGCGUAAAGAGCGCGCAGGCGGUCGUUUAAGUCGAAUGUGAAAGCCCCCGGCUCAACUGGGGAGGGUCAUUCGAUACUGAUCGACUUGAAGGCAGGAGAGGGAAGUGGAAUUCCGGGUGUAGUGGUGAAAUGCGUAGAUAUCCGGAGGAACACCAGUGGCGAAGGCGACUUCCUGGCCUGUCCUUGACGCUGAGGCGCGAAAGCUGGGGGAGCAAACGGG
rnacentral:rRNA from 1 species